rnacentral:rRNA from 1 species
UACGGAGGGUGCAAGCGUUAUCCGGAUUCACUGGGUUUAAAGGGUGCGUAGGUGGGAAUGUAAGUCAGUGGUGAAAUCUCUGAGCUUAACCCGGAAACUGCCAUUGAUACUAUAGGUCUUGAAUUAUCUGGAGGUAAGCGGAAUAUGUCAUGUAGCGGUGAAAUGCUUAGAUAUGACAUAGAACACCAAUUGCGAAGGCAGCUUACUACGGAUACAUUGACACUGAGGCACGAAAGCGUGGGGAUCAAACAGG